rnacentral:rRNA from 1 species
AACGGUAACAGGANGUGCUUGCACNUCGCUGACGAGUGGCGGACGGGUGAGUAAUGCUUGGGAACUUGCCUUUGCGAGGGGGAUAACAGUUGGAAACGACUGCUAAUACCGCAUAAUGUCUUCGGACCAAACGGGGCUUAGGCUCCGGCGCAAAGAGAGGCCCAAGUGAAAAUUANCUAGUUGGUAAGGUAAAGGCUUACCAAGGCAACGAUCUCUAGCUGUUCUGAGAGGAAGAUCAGCCACACUGGAACUGAGACACGGUCCAGACUCCUACGGGAGGCAGCAGUGGGGAAUAUUGCACAAUGGGGGAAACCCUGAUGCAGCCAUGCCGCGUGUGUGAAGAAGGCCUUCGGGUUGUAAAGCACUUUCAGUUGUGAGGAAAAGUUAGUAGUUAAUACCUGCUAGCCGUGACGUUAACAACAGAAGAAGCACCGGCUAACUCCGUGCCAGCAGCCGCGGUAAUACGGAGGGUGCGAGCGUUAAUCGGAAUUACUGGGCGUAAAGCGCACGCAGGCGGUUUGUUAAGCUAGAUGUGAAAGCCCCGGGCUCAACCUGGGANGGUCAUUUAGAACUGGCAGACUAGAGUCUUGGANNNGGGNNNNNGNAAUUCCAGGUGUAGCGGUGAAAUGCGUAGAUAUCUGGAGGAACAUCAGUGGCGAAGGCGACUCCCUGGCCAAAGACUGACGCUCAUGUGCGAAAGUGUGGGUAGCGAACAGGAUUAGAUACCCUGGUAGUCCACACCGUNNNGCUGUCUAC